AAAUACAAUUACUCUAAUUCCCAAGGCGUUGCAGACAGAGUGUCCUGAAAACCUGCAGUGUAAUAAUUCACAGGGAGCCGUGGCAGGCGGCCUUUGAGGCAUCAGAAACGCUGCUUUUGUAAACUUCAGAGGCGGCCAAGAGCGGUCCCUCGGGAGACCCCUGUGCUGUGUUUUAUUAACCUCCCUGUUUCUGGCUGAGGAGCUGCAGGGGGAAUCUUGCUUGCAGGGCUGGCUUCUGCCCCCGUGAGCUUUUCUAGGGUCAUCGUAUUGGGGGGAUGGGGCUGAGAUGUCCCAUUUUCCUCUGGCUGUACCUCUCCUUGUCCCUGUGUUGUUAGACUAACUCUGCUAGUUAGAUACCCUUGCAUGAUGGAAAAGUCUCACCACCCAUGAAAUGGGCAGGACUCUUGGCCUCCUCCUGGGAGAUGGAGACUUUUUAUGGGACACUUUCUGAAAAGAUUUAUUUAUUUAUUUGUUUUUGUCUUUUUGUCUUUUUAGGGCUGCACCUGCGGCAUAUGGAGGUUCCCAGGCUAGGGGUCCAAUUGGAGCGGUAGCUGCCGGCCUACGCCCCAAGCCCAGCCACGCCAGAUCCGAGCGGUGUCUGUGACCUACACCUUAGCUCAUGGCAAUGCCGGAUCCUUAACCCACAGAGUGAGGCCCGAGAUCGAACCUGCAACCUCAUGAUUCCUAGUUGGAUUCGUUUCCGCUGUGCCACGAUGGGAACUCCGUGUGGAACCCUUGAUGGAAGGAUACUACUCAUCAGGUGGAAAAGGUUGAUGCAUUCAUCAGCCUCAUUUGGAAAAUGGUACACGGUCCGUCUUUGCUUCGGAACUCCUAGAAAUGCAUCCCGGCUGAGCAGAAGAGUGAUCAGCCAUGACCCUGGUCCCACCAGGCGAUUUGAGACAGAAUAUUUCACUGUGAGCAACGUGGUUCUACAGUCCCACAAGAGUGGAGAUGGAAUCAAAAGUCUGAGGCUGUUCCUUGCAAAGGUGAUGUGUACUACACAGUGUUUGUGGGGUGUUAAUUGGCAUCCUGUUAAUAAAAAGAUAGCUUUCCCCAAACCCACUUUCCGUGAUUAAAUAAACUCAUGAGACAAGGGAGUGAAACAUAGUUAAGCAGAUUUCUUCGCUGCAGAAAUUUUCAGAGGCUGUGUGUUAAUAUGUGUUAUGAAUCUGAAA
rnacentral:lncRNA from 9 species